rnacentral:rRNA from 1 species
UACAGAGGUCCCAAGCGUUGUUCGGAUUCACUGGGCGUAAAGGGUGCGUAGGCGGGUCUUUUAAGUCAGGGGUGAAAUCCUGGAGCUCAACUCCAGAACUGCCUUUGAUACUGAGGAUCUUGAGUUCGGGAGAGGUGAGUGGAACUGCGAGUGUAGAGGUGAAAUUCGUAGAUAUUCGCAAGAACACCAGUGGCGAAGGCGGCUCACUGGCCCGAUACUGACGCUGAGGCACGAAAGCGUGGGGAGCAAACAGG